rnacentral:tRNA from 1 species
GGGGUUGUGGCUCAGUGGUAGAGCACUUGCUUAGCAUGCUUGAGGCACUGGGUUCGAACCCCAGCACCA